UGGACCCUUACACUGAUGCAAUCAUGAACUUCUACAGGUGGAGAGCAUAUUAACUGGUUGCAUCACAGCCUGGUUCAGUGACUCAAAUGCCCAGGAAGAAAGAAGACUGCAAAAAGUGGUGAACACUGCCCAGUCCAUCACAGAUUAUGACCACCCCACCAUCGAUGGGAUUUACCAGUCGCUGCCUCAAAAAGGCAGCCAGCAUCAUCAGAGACCCACACCAUCCAACUCACACACUCAUUUCACCCCUGCCAUUGGGAAGAAGGUACAGAAGCCUGAAAACUGUAAUGUCCAUGUUCAGGAACAGUUUUGUCCCUGCAACCAUCAGGCUAUUAAACAAUACAACCUCCAAAUAGGCUUCAAACCAUAGAUUGGGAGUAUUACUUUUUUACUUUGCACUAUUAUUGCCUAUUUACUUGUCUGUUUUGUGUACAUAUACUGAAGUUAUGGGUUUAUUAUGGGUUUUACAGAGUACUCUGCGGUGCCACGGCAAGUACGAAUUCCAUUGUUCUGUUUUGUGACAUAGGACAAUAAAAUGCUCUGGCCCUUGAGCAGGACAGGGUUCCCUCACCCCACCACCCCAAUGGCCCAGACCUCCCAUUUAGCUCUUAAAUUCUGAAUGUGGGAACCAGCAGCAGAGGCAGGGAUUUUUCUUAACCCCCCAGCUGCAUUGGACAAGGAGCUGCGGAGCGGCCUUCUUGCGCCGCGGUGCUCCAUGUGGUGACGGAGGUCUCACUGGGCUCUCAGUGUCAGGGCACCACGGUUUUGACCCAGUGAUGUAAAUUGGGGGGAAAUCCCUAACUCAGUUAUAGCGGACAAUCAGCAAAAACAGAACACAUCCCACACUCAAUGUGGUCUACUAUAGUAAAGGUUCACUAUGGUAAUACAAAAACACUGAAUUGUCCCUUAAUGAUUUAUUUGAUGUUUCCUUGCCGUAGAGCGGAUGGGAUAUUGCACUAAAUCUCUGUAUAAAAUGAGGUGGUUGUUUCAAAUGACCGGGGAACAAGAUUUCGAUGUUGAAUGUCCUAAAAUAUUUAGAUAUUGAAUGCUCAUUUGCAAUGAAUAGCCUGCAUUGUUACAAACUUAGCCUUGUUGGACUGUAAUUAGUAAGGUUGCCUUGAAUGAGGAUGAUCCAAAAGAUUUAAUAGACUGUAUUCAGUUCCAUGUGAUUCUUCCAAGCCAAUUCUGCCUAAAUCAGCAUGAAGUCUAAUCUUUCCCUUAUCCAUUUGGGUUCCAAUCUGAGACUCACAAGAUGAAAUAUGAUCAAAAUGCCUCUAUCUUAAAACUGAAAAGGACUUAAUUUCUGAAUGGCACCAUCAAACUGGCUUACUCCAGAAUGCAUUUUAUUUUCAACCAGAAUGGAUUUACAAUUCACUGUGACAUUUAUGCGCUCUUUGUGAAGAGCCCCAUUGCUGUGAGCACUCAACCCUGCCAAUGGCAGUAGGAAGGCUUUGUGGAAGCAAUAGGCAAAUGAAUAUAAAUUGAAGGGUGUUUGGGACUAAAGAAUGGACACAUAACAUGGCUGAAAAUAAUUAUUUUGUAUUCAAGGGAAGCUCGACUUAUCAGGAAUUCACUGCAUAUGUAUAUUUUUCUCUGAUGUGAAUCCUUAAUUAUAUUUAAUAUUUGUAAAAUACAAAUCUAUCUUUCAGCUCCAUGUGGAAGUCGAUCCACAGGUUUGGAUGGUACAGUGCUGUCUCCAAACUAUCCUAGAAAUUAUAGUACUGGACACAAUUGUGUUUAUUCCAUCACAGUCUCCAGAGAGUUUGUGGUGUUUGGCCAGUUUGUGUUUUUCCAGACUUCCCUUCAUGAUGUCGUUGACAUAUUCGAUGGACCCACUCAGCAAGCUUUACUUUUGACUUCGCUGUCAGGGUCUCACUCAGGAGAGUCCCUUCCGUUAAGUUCGGGUAACCAGAUCACAAUCAAGUUUACUUCCGUGGGUGUAAUAACAGCCAAAGGAUUUCAUUUUGUUUAUCAAGGUAGGUUGACAAUUGAAGUUUAAUAAAAGCUCUCACAAUUGAAUUCCAAAGUAGUUGUUUGAUAAACAUGAUUAUUACCGUUAAUCAUACUACAAUUGAUUAUAAAUCAAAAGACACGGCAA